GGGAAUGUGGCUUAGUGGUAGAGUGCUUGCCUAGCAUUCAAGAAACCCUGGGUUCAAUUCCUCAGUACCA
rnacentral:tRNA from 1 species